AUGGCUCGGCCCAUGGGAUCCAGCGGCUUCGAGGCUGCCCUAGCCGUGUGCCCCGCCGCCGCCCAGGCCUACUCCAAGUACUGCGGUAUUGUAUCUGGAUGCACAAAUGCGAACCCAAGGGAAGGGUUGGCGGAUCUUUCACGAACUAUAGAUAAUAUGGAAGGAAUGAGGGAUGGAAUAUUUGGUGAUAUUCACAAGCUCAUGUCAGUUCUUGAUUUCGAUGAUGUGAGCCAAUUCAAUUCCUUCUAUGAUUUUGUCUUCUUCAUUUCUCGUGAAAAUGGCCAAAAGAAUAUUACUGUUCAGAAGGCUCUUGCAGCAUGGAGGAUAGUUCUUGUUGGAAGAUUCCGAUUGCUUGACCGGUGGUGUAACUUUGUUGAGAAGUACCAACGUCACAACAUUUCUGAGGACGCCUGGCAGCAGCUACUAGCUUUCAGCAGGUGUGUAAAUGAGGACCUGGAAGGUUAUGAUCCAAAAGGUGCUUGGCCUGUCAUAAUUGAUGAUUUUGUGGAGCACAUGCACAGAAUUUACCGCCCUAGUGACUGCUCCAGUGCAAUGGAAUCACAAUGCAGCAUUUCCAAUACAUUUAGAGGUCUAAAUCUAUUACCUGGAUCAAAGAGGAAAUGCCCUACUCAGUUUAACUCCAGUGAAGAGAGCGUAGAGCUCUCAGAAGCUCUUAGACACUCUGUCCAACUUACCCCGUCGAAGCGACUUAAGGAAAGUUCCGCGCCUACUAGAUAUGGGGUUUGGGAGCGAGACGCAGGUACCCCUUUCUUCAACAGCACACCAGAUUGUCGCGAGGACAUGAAUUUACACAACUCAAGAGGCUGCCUUCAGAACUCACCUCGUGUUAUUGAGGAUGGGUUUUCAAAAGGGUUCGAAGGUUGCAUUUCAAUGAAAUGCUCAUUUUAG
rnacentral:rRNA from 1 species